CCUACGGGUGGCUGCAGUGGGGAAUAUUGGACAAUGGGCGAAAGCCUGAUCCAGCCAUGCCGCGUGUGUGAAGAAGGCCUUCGGGUUGUAAAGCACUUUCAGUGGGGAAGAAAGCCUUGGGGCUAAUACCCUCGAGGAAGGACAUCACCCACAGAAGAAGCACCGGCUAACUCCGUGCCAGCAGCCGCGGUAAUACGGAGGGUGCGAGCGUUAAUCGGAAUUACUGGGCGUAAAGCGCGCGUAGGCGGUCUGAUAAGCCGGUUGUGAAAGCCCCGGGCUCAACCUGGGAACGGCAUCCGGAACUGUCAGGCUAGAGUGCAGGAGAGGAAGGUAGAAUUCCCGGUGUAGCGGUGAAAUGCGUAGAGAUCGGGAGGAAUACCAGUGGCGAAGGCGGCCUUCUGGACUGACACUGACGCCGAGGUGCGAAAGCGUGGGUAGCAAACAGGAUUAGAUACCCCUGUAGUC
rnacentral:rRNA from 1 species